rnacentral:rRNA from 1 species
UGCGUCCCGAAGGAGAAGGGUGGUAUGGGCUUCCGGGACUUGCAUUGCUUUAAUUUGGCUCUUUUGGCAAAACAGUGUUGGAGGUUUUUGUGUGAACCGGAAUCAUUAUGUGCCAGAGUAUUGAAAGCAAAGUAUUUCCCCAAUGAUGACCUUCUGGACUAUACGUUGAAGAAGGGUAGUUCAUAUACCUGGCAGAGUCUCUGGAGUGGAAUUCAGUCCUUUAAAAGAGGACACAUUUGGAGAGUAGGAGAUGGAUCACAUAUUAAUAUCUGGGAGGACCCUUGGAUUCCCAGCAGCCCGACCCGCAAAGUUUUUACACCAAAGGGAAAUAUAGUGAUCACAAGAGUUUCUGAACUCAUUGAUUCGGAAAACAGAGUGUGGGAUGAACAAUUGCUAAACGAUCUUUUUUGGCCAAUUGAUGUGCAGCGUAUUAUGAAUAUUCCUCUAGCUUUGGGAAUGAUGGAAGAUUUUGUAUCAUGGCACUUCAAUAGAAGUGGAAUUUUCUCAGUAAGAUUGGCUUACCAUGAAGAGUGGGAGCACCAGCAUGGACGAAAGUUGAGGACGACAAACUCAUUACAAGCCUCAAGUACUAGUCCAGUCUGGCGUACCAUUUGGAAAUUGCGUGUGCCAUCAAAAAUCAAAAUCCAUGUUUGGAGGACUUUGCUUGGAGCUAUUCCUUGCCGUGGUGUUUUAGCGAACAGACAUAUGACUACAAGUUCCCAGUGUCCCCUUUGUAGUUCGGACUGUGAAAGCAUUAGGCAUGCUAUGUUUCUGUGCCUGUCGGGGAUAUACCCCGCGGUAUGA